UGACUCUUAAGUUGAAAGACUAUCAAGCUUUUAUUUUGGAGGGGCUCAGAUGUGGGCAGAGUUGU
rnacentral:tRNA from 1 species